rnacentral:rRNA from 1 species
GGGGAGCAAGCGUUGUUCGGAUUUACUGGGCGUAGAGGGCGCGUAGGCGGCCACCGCAAGUCGACUGUGAAAUCUCCGGGCUUAACCCGGAAAGGUCAGCCGAUACUGCGGGGCUAGAGUGCAGAAGGGGCAACUGGAAUUCUCGGUGUAGCGGUGAAAUGCGUAGAUAUCGAGAGGAACACCUGCGGCGAAGGCGGGUUGCUGGGCUGACACUGACGCUGAGGCGCGAAAGCUAGGGGAGCGAACGGG